UAGGGAAUCUUCCGCAAUGGGCGAAAGCCUGACGGAGCAACGCCGCGUGAGUGAUGAAGGUCUUCGGAUCGUAAAACUCUGUUAUUAGGGAAGAACAAAGGUGUAAGUAACUAUGCACGUCUUGACGGUACCUAAUCGGAAAGCCACGGCUAACUACGUGCCAGCAGCCGCGGUAAUACGAAGGUGGCAAGCGUUAUCCGGAAUUAUUGGGCGUAAAGCGCGCGUAGGCGGUUUUUUAAGUCUGAUGUGAAAGCCAACGGCUCAACCGUGGAGGGUCAUUGGAAACUGGAAAACUUGAGUGCAGAAGAGGAAAGUGGAAUUCCAUGUGUAGCGGUGAAAUGCGCAGAGAUAUGGAGGAACACCAGUGGCGAAGGCGACUUUCUGGUCUGUAACUGACGCUGAUGUGCGAAAGCGUGGGGAUCAAACAGG
rnacentral:rRNA from 1 species